CCUUCGAUAGCUCAGUUGGUAGAGCGGUGGACUGUAGAGGCAACUCAAAGCGAUAGAAAUCCAUAGGUCACUGGUUCAAAUCCGGUUCGAAGGA
rnacentral:tRNA from 1 species